rnacentral:rRNA from 1 species
UUUCCAGAGAUGGAUUGGUGCCUUCGGGAACUGUGAGACAGGUGCUGCAUGGCUGUCGUCAGCUCGUGUUGUGAAAUGUUGGGUUAAGUCCCGCAACGAGCGCAACCCUUAUCCUUUGUUGCCAGCGGUCCGGCCGGGAACUCAAAGGAGACUGCCAGUGAUAAACUGGAGGAAGGUGGGGAUGACGUCAAGUCAUCAUGGCCCUUACGACCAGGGCUACACACGUGCUACAAUGGCGCAUACAAAGAGAAGCGACCUCGCGAGAGCAAGCGGACCUCAUAAAGUGCGUCGUAGUCCGGAUUGGAGUCUGCAACUCGACUCCAUGAAGUCGGAAUCGCUAGUAAUCGUGGAUCAGAAUGCCACGGUGAAUACGUUCCCGGGCCUUGUACACACCGCCCGUCACACCAUGGGAGUGGGUUGCAAAAGAAGUAGGUAGCUUAACCUUCGGGAGGGCGCUUACCACUUUGUGAUUCAUGACUGGGGUGAAGUCGUAACAAGGUAACCGUAGGGGAACCUGCGGUUGGAUCAC